AUAUUCAGUUUCACUCUUGAGCAUAUUUGUUUUUUGAUUAUUUAAAGCCCCCUUAGUCUCUUUUGAAAGGUAGGGAAAGAGCACAUCAUGAGUCUCUUUCAUGAACUAAGAUGUCUGUUCCAUGUCUUUCUCAUCUUCAUCAUCUGAAUUCAUUGAGGAAAAUGAGUGAGAUCUAUCCAUCAUAAAAGCUUAAAAGCUCUACAACUUCUUCUCUGAAUUUGUUGGUGUUGAUGGGUAUGGUUUAGAUAUUGUUCAUAAGAAAUUUUGAGACGCUUUGAUUGGUAAGUUAGUUUCAGCUUGUUCAAUAGGUUCUCUUGGCCCAUUGUUUCAAUCAGUGUCCCUCUACUCAAAGUUAGCAUCUUUGAAGUCCCUCCAAGAUUUGGAUCUGAAGCCAUCGCAAAUUAGAGCAUAAUAUCUGUUGCUUUCAGGUUGUCGCAGUUUCUUGUGCUAAAGAAUUUGUAAUGGUGAUGGAAAGUGUGGUCAUGGCAGGGAAGGCCUCAGUUGAAAGAAACAAUAGUCAAAGACAAGGCAAUAUGAUCUGGUGGUGCAGUUAUCAUAUGUUACUUGCAUGGGUUUUUUUAAAAGCUCAUCCAUGAAUAUGAUAAUGGUGAUAGUCAACUCUUGUACGGGAUCACAUGGAUCUCAAUCUAUGAUAUGAUGAGGUCCGUUGUUCUUGUACUGCUGAAGAGAGUUCCCCUUGACAACUUCAAAAUUCUACACUGUUUUAAUCUCAUUUUCUCAUUAGUUACUUUUUUUCGCAUGCAGUUUAAGUCUCUUUUUCGUGUAAUAGCUAGUUCUCAAGAGAUUUACCAUCUUGUUGCUCUUUGCAGCAGAAGGAAAUAAAUCGAACUUUAUGUGCUUGAAAUUGUUGAAUUAUUAAGGUAUAUUUUGAGAAAGUUUGCUGAA